CAAAGACCGGGAUUUAUUUUCGCGGGAGAGUAAGUUGUUGCCAGGGUUUUUGUUUUAUACUUUAAACAUUGAUUUUAUUUUUUAUGUUUUUAGAUGUUCAUGUUUUUGAAUGUUUUAUUCAAAUAAUAUAAAAAAUAAAAUAUAUAUUGACAUGGAUUAAACAAAGAUAUAUAUUAUUCUAUGUUGUAUAAACAAAUUGGCAAAAUAGAGAUGGAAGAUAAGAAUAUGGUCAAAGUAAUAAGAGUCUAUGGUGAAUGCCUAGGA
rnacentral:misc_RNA from 1 species